GAGUCAGGUGGAUCUUUGUGAGUUCGAGGCCAGCCUGGGCUACCAAGUGAGUUCCAAAAUGUUGAUUGGAGCUUGCAUGAUAUGUUGAUUGGCAUUUCCGUAUAAACCAGGACCUGACAACAUCCUGGUUGCUCCUAUCUAAU